GCCGCCCUAGCUCAGUUGGUAGAGCAUUCGAUUCGUGAUCGAAAGGUCGUCGGUUCUACUCCGAUGGGCGGCUCCA
rnacentral:tRNA from 1 species